AUCUUCCGCAAUGGGCGAAAGCCUGACGGAGCAACGCCGCGUGGGGGACGAAGGCCUUCGGGUCGUAAACCCCUGUCAUGGGGAAAGAAGGGCGUCGGGGUGAACAGCCCCGAUGCCUGACGGUACCCCAAGAGGAAGCCACGGCCAACUCCGUGCCAGCAGCCGCGGUAAUACGGAGGUGGCGAGCGUUGUUCGGAAUUACUGGGCGUAAAGGGCGCGUAGGCGGGGAGGUAAGUCGGGUGUGAAAUCCCUCGGCUCAACCGAGGAACGGCGCCCGAAACUGCCUCUCUUGAGUUCCGGAGAGGAAGGUGGAAUUCCCGGUGUAGCGGUGAAAUGUGUAGAGAUCGGGAGGAACACCGGUGGCGAAGGCGGCCUUCUGGACGGUGACUGACGCUGAGGCGCGAAAGCGUGGGGAGCAAAC
rnacentral:rRNA from 1 species